rnacentral:lncRNA from 1 species
UCAAAACGUCCAAAACACAGGAAAUUCUAAAUGUAACAUGUUGUUGCAAGGGAUCAUCCCCACUGCAGACCACAUACACAACUCAAUGGUGUCAUCGAAAAGAUAUUUCUCCAUUCAAACACAUGAAAACAUCAAUAAGACAGCAAGCAAGUAGUAGACAUGGGUAGGCUACUCAUAACAUAUAUACAAGGGAGGCUUCACUUUGGUGUCGAGCAUAUAAAAGGGAUAUCUAAAAGAAGGAAAAAUAAAGAACCAAAUAUAAGGAGGAGGAGGACUACUUCGCAAUGUCGAAGAUGAAACAAAACUAUGUCUAAAAAGGCUACAUGGCCUACUUGCUGAUAACGGACAUAGGAGUAAUGAUUUCCUUAGGUCUUUAAAGCAACUUAACAUGCAGAGAAAAGGAAGGGUCCUUGUAAAAAAGAAAACUCUUAAAUUGAGUCAAAUUCGACAAAAGUUUCACCAAAUCGAGUCCGAGACAACGCAGCAAAACUUCUUCAGAACUGAAUCUGUCCAGCAACCAUCACCAUAAGACUUAACAAAUCACUAGAAGGCUAAGUAAAUGAUAUAAAUGUGUUUUCCAUAGAUUUCACAACCUGCAACAAAAAAAAAGAAAAACUAUUUAUAAUUCCAUCAGAGUGGAAAGGAACAAACGAGAUUGGCCACAACGACUUUCCCUGCCCCUAAGGACUGAAGAAGCUCUCUAGAAGAAAGAGAGAAUCUUUUCCUAGAAGGAUCUAGAAAGAAAUUAUUUUAUUUAAAAUUUCUUUUUUUUGGCUAAAACAAUAAUUUGAGUUUAUAUUAUAAUUUUAAUUUUACGAAUUAAAAUUUGGUUAAUCAAUAACUACAUAAACUAGUUUUUUAGUAUGUGCGUUGCACAUUAUUUUAUCAUUUUCAACAAUAUUUAUUUAUUUUUAUCAAUUUUAAACAAAUUUUUAAUGUUUAUAUAUAAAAUGUAUUUAUUUUUGAGUUUAUAUAAUUUAGAAAUGUAUAAAUAUAUUUAUCAUGUUAAUUUAAACAUGAAAUUUGAUUUCCAUUUACACAUUCCAACUAAUUAUACAAAUAUAAAAAUAUUAAAAAUUGCUAGCACAAUCUUUGAAAUGAAUCAUAAAUAUGAAUAUUAAUGGUUGAAUACCUCAUUUUCAUUUUAAAAGAACAAUAUAAUUUUAUUAUAUUUUUAAAAUUCACCAUUUAUAAUAAUAUAUAUACAAAAGAAUUAGUUUCCUAAUUUAGGAUAAAUUUUGAUAAAUAUUUUUAAAUUCAUCAUAUAUAAUCACAUAUAUUAUUAAUAUUAUAUAAAUAUUAUAUUGCUUUUAUAAAAGGUAUUAACAAUGUAUGUAUUAGUUAAAAUUUCUUCUUCUUUUUUUGAAUACAUUUCUUUUAUUUUCUUGUACUCACUUUUUUCAUUGAAAAUUUAUUUAUAUAAAAUUUUAAAAUUAAAAUUUAUCAUCAUUUUAAUUACAUAGAUGAACAUUAAACUUUUUCCUCAUAAAAAACCAUUGGUUUUUAAUUAAAAGAAUAUUUAAAAUGUGAUACAUUAUAGUUAUCAAUAAAUUAAAUAGAGUACAAAUUUUAUUAUUUUUUAUUUUUUAUUUGUUAAUCAAUUUGUAUAUAAAUCAAAUUAAACGGAAAAAAGGAUUUUUUUUGUGUUUAUUUAAAAAAUUAUAAUAUUUCAUUGCACAUUAAAAUCAUUAUUUAAAAUUUCAAUUUUAUAAAGUGAAAGUAACGUUUUUUUAUUGUAAUAAAACAAAAUUUUAAUUAAAAGAAUUUAAGUAUAGAAAAAUAAGAAUUUAAAAUUUAUAUAAACUUUAUAAAUAAUUGUAAUAAUAAAAUUUAAAAUAAGUUAAUUGUAGCAAUUAAUUAAAUUUAGUCUUGAUUGAUAUAAAUUAUAAAGGAUAAAAAAAAUAGACCAAAAUAUUGAAUCUUUUAAAAGAAAGCAUAAAUUUGUAAUUUUUGUGGAAGUCACAUUUUUAAUAAAUUUCAUACUUUUUUAAUUAUUUUUCAAAAUUUUAUUUAAAUUGAAGAUUAAUAUAAAUAAAUAGGAAUAAAAACUUCUAAUUUAGUUAAAUAUCAAAAUAAAAAGUUUUUUCGGCAAAAAAAAAAGUUUUUAGUUUAAUUAAUUUAAAAAACAAAAAGUGGAAGAUUAAAAAUUAAAAUUAAUUUAUAUAUAUAUAUAUAUAUAUGAAGGAACUUACUGAUAUAUCGCCGAACUUUGCUGUACGAGUCUAUGAGAGCACGAGAAACAGGUCUCCUCGAGUGGAGCUCCAAAUUCGCUUGAGCUUACUUUUCCACCUCUCCUAUAUAUAACAAGCCAGCUUUCUCAUUUUUCCCCCAAAUCCUAAGCUCAUCAAUCAAUAUACCAAUAAAAAAAAAACCAAUGUUUCCCUCUGUCAGCACCAAACCGACAUCGGUUUUUAGGACAGCAUUUGAUAUAAUUGACACAGACCAUGAUGAGAAGAUAAGCAGAGAUGACCUCCGAAGGUUCUACGUGGGAUUGUCCAGCGGCGGCGUUGACGUCGACGAUGAUGUUAUAGGGUUUAUGAUGUCUGUGGCGGACUUUAACAAA